rnacentral:misc_RNA from 1 species
GUGUUCGCUGCCCUCACGGGUAGCAAACCUCACCCUUGUGUAUUAUAUCUUUGUUGCUUUGGCACGCCGCCUUCGGGUACCGGCUUCGGCUGGCUCGCGCGUGUCAGAGAACCUAAAACUCUGAAUGUUAGUGUCGUCUGAGUAAACUUAAUUAAUAAAUUAAAACUUUUAACAACGGAUCUCUUGGUUCU